rnacentral:lncRNA from 1 species
UCAACAUGUUGUAACGCGGAUCAAGUGUUUACUUUUAACAAAAUCUUCGGGUUUGUAAAAGAAGAAUUUACAAGAUGUCCGAUAUGUUUCGAUAACUUCAUCAGCAUGUUUUGUCUAUUAGUAUGCAGUUCAUAUCAGAGUACCUUAGCAAGUGCCAAUGUCACAGUAGAUUGUUCUACUAGGCAAAAAGUAGUGACGUUAGUCGAUUAUUAUGUAUCACGCGAC